rnacentral:lncRNA from 1 species
AGCAGCUUAAAAAGGAACCAAAAAAAAAAAUACUGACGGGCUGAGAGUAGAAACAAAGCUGUCUUCUUUCUUGCUUCCUUCCUAAAACCAACUCGAGUGAGUGAGACAGAGUGUGAGGAAAAGAAAGUGCAAGCUUCACCAUUAGCUAACCAUACGAACGGAAACAAAAGUGAGAACGAAGAGGAGUCUGGUGCAGUUUGGGAACUGAAGCAGGAGAAGUUGGAAUAGCUACUGGUUUCGUCUGCAAUUUUUAGAACUUAAGACUAGAGGUAAGUUCGUGAAUAACAUUUGUAUAAACUGAGUAUAUGUUUAACCUGUAAGUUGAGCUUCAACUGAGGGAAAUUUCUGAUCUAAAGCUCGAGUAAUUCUGGACUGAUGCAGGCCGUAAGAACUUUGAACUAAAUUCUGAUAAGAAAAUACAUGGAGAUGGUUAGUUCUGAUUUCUGAUAUUAGGUAAUGUUUAGCUAUAGAAACUUGUAAAAGUUAGUUUAAUUAGUUAAACAUGAGCUUCAUACGUUGAGUUUAGCUACGAAAUCAGUUCUGGUUCAAGAAAACGUUAAGCAUCAGAAAAUGUUAUGCCGAAAUGAGCUAUGGUUCUGUUAGUUCUUGAAUUUAGCCUCACGUUUGUUAAGGAUAACCUGUAACUGAAGAGCUAUUCCUACAUGCUAGCUGUAACCUGAGAUUGAAGGGAAUCCUAAGGAACUUACAAAUGAUAUCUUGUUGAUAUACGCGUGCGAAAGCAUGCAAAUCUGAUGCAUGCAUGGCUGCACCAGAUUUGCAGCUAGCUACAGAAACGUAACCGAACUCAGUUUUUUUUCUCCUUUGAAUCCUGGUCAUGAACGACCUUGUUUAGCUUAGGAUAACCCGCAACAAACAAGGUUAAAGCAAGUAGAAAACAGAAGUGAACAAUGGACGACUCUUGACUGCACAAAAAGACCUCAUUGCUCCUGACCUGUUUUCAAGUGGUUCUGGUCGUCCACUUUUGACCCUGAAAACGUGAGAACUGGGUGUCUAUGUUUUCGUAAGAAAUGUAGGUUUAUGUUUUAGCUUCGAAACGCUAUAAAAUUCGCCUCAAUCUGAUAAGCGUGGCUCGAAUUAUGAUCAAAACACCCGAGGAUGGCAAAGCUGUCUUUCCUUUUGUUCCCGAAUGCACUUUGCUAAGAUGCUAACCGUGAGGAACCAACUUUUAACCAGCAUUUCCUCUAAUUUCCAACUUUGUAAGCUUUCAUAAAUGAUAGCUACGGUUACUCUGAAAUUCAAUGGCUAUAUAUAGCUCCACAAGUAGAGUUAAAUUAAAGUAAAUGAGAGGAAAACUCAUGAUGAUUAUGUACCUAAAUUGGCUUCUAAUUACUUAAUAUUGUCUUCACAUAUAUUUUAAAGACUAUAAAAUUUGAGGGACUGGUGUAGUGGAAUAAAAUUUAAUUUACAAAUAACCUAGAGUUUAAUUAAUUAAAAAGGAGACCAAGGGAGUACUCCUAAGCCAUAAUCUUAGAAUCUUGAGUGGAAAGUGAUUUACUACUAAAAUAAAUAUUUUAUAAAUUAUUAGCUUGAAGAGUACGUAUGUUCUUGAUUUAAAAUAAUAAAGUUAAUAAGUCUCGAAAUAAAUUGGGGAAUAAAUAUGUAUUUCCAGGUCAAACUUGAUUUUAAUAGUUUAAAUAAUAAAGUAAGAAUGAUAAGUGAUCACUUACGAAUUAUAAAUUUACCAUUGAAAUUAUUAAUUUGCCCAGAAAGUAGCUGUGAGUCAGGAAACAAACUCGAGGCUCGAGAGUAAUUUACUUGGAUAAUUGGUGAGUGUUUUCGAAUUUAUGUGUUUAAUUGUUUAUGUGUACUUGAGUGAAAUUAUGUGACAAAUGUACGUAUUAUGAAAUAUUGCUAAGUGAUCCAUUGCAAAGUGUAUCUCAAUUGUCCCUCGCAUUCUAAGUCGGGAGUGUAUUUUAUCGCACUCGAUUUAGUUGAGAUUGAAGGUUGAUAAUUGAUCAAGUGAUAUUGUAAGUGUGCAUGACUGUAAGCUGUGUGUGUACUUUAUCACACUAGCUGAAUUGGGCCCCAAAAUCCUCUGUUCAACGGACUAUUCGAGCCAGCAAAGGGCUUGAUCGGGUAGGACAGUAGCUUUGGGUAAAUGUUUCUGUAUACUCGAGUAUUACCACGAGGUUGGGAGAUCAUUGCACUGAUUACUGAAUAUAGGGGAUUGUUUAUUGUUUUGGAGGACAUAAGGAGGUGAAUUGGGAGAAAGUACAGUGAUAUUGAAAUGAAUGUACAGUGAUAUUGAAAUGAGUGUCUCUUGACACUGAAAUGAAUGCUCAAUGACAUUGAAGUGGCUCUAAUGCGAGCACCGUAUCCUUUUAAAAGUGAUUGUUCAGUGAAGUGUUUCCUCAAUUGCUUAAUGAAAGUGAUUGUACAGUGAAAUGUGCACUACUUGCUUAAUUGUAUUGAUUUAAGUGUUUAUUAAAUGUUAUUUGCUCGGCAAAUCUCACUGAGCUUUAGCUCAGUCCUUUAGUUUUGUUUUCCUUACAGGAGUUGGUGGUCUGGAAACGAACGAGAGAUCUUAGGAAGUUAACGUGAAGACUUUUGUGAUUGUAAAUCCUUUAGUUUCAUAUUAUAGUUGAAACUUUUGUAUUGAUCUUAGUGUUGUAAAAGAUUUGAGAGUUUGGUUUUGAUUUAUCAAAUGUUAUCUCUGAAAUUAAUGUAAGUGAGUGAGCCCUGGCGAGAGCCAGGCAGGCGAUCUGCUAACUUUUAAGGUAUACCCUAGGAGAAGGUGGGGUCGUCACAGAUAAUACAGAGAAUGAAGAGAAAAACCAUAAAAUAGAGAACAGUACCAUGAGAAAUUUUAAAGGCUUUGACACAUAAUAGCGUCCAUUUUUUU